GAGAGGCCUGGGAGGAGAGCUGCCCAGCCUGGGGCCUCAGGGAGCAGAAGUGGGACGCCUCCGCCAUGGCCUGGACCCCUCUCCUCCUCGGCCUCCUCGCUCACUGCACAGGGUCUGUGGCCUCCUAUGAGGUGACACAGCCACCCUCGAUGUCAGUGCAGCCAGGACAGACAGCCAGGAUCACCUGCGGGGGAGACAUUGGAAGUAAAUAUGCUUACUGGUACCAGCAGAAGCCCGGCCAGGCCCCUGUAACGGUCAUCUAUGGUGAUAGCCGCCGGCCCUCAGGGAUCCCUGACCGGUUCUCAGGCUCCAACUCGGGGAACACGGCCACCCUGACCAUCAGCGGGGUCCAGGCCCAGGACGAGGCUGACUAUUACUGUGCAGCAUAUAGUAGUGGUACUAAUACUCACGGUGGCACAGGCAGAAGGGGAAGUCUCUGUGCUGCACCUGUGCUGACCCAGCCCCCAUCUGCUUCUGCCUCCCUGGGAGCCUCUGCCCAGCUCCCCUGCACCCUCAGCAGUGAGCACAGCAGCUACACCAUUUGCUGGUAUCAUAAGAGACAAGGAAGUGGCCCUGGGUAUGUGAAGUACAUUAAGAGUGAUGGAAGCCACAGCAGUGGGGGUCAGAUCCCCUAUCACUUCUCCGGCUCCAGCUCUGGGGCCAACUGCCACUUAACCAUCUCCAAUCUCCAGUGUGAGGAUGAGGCUGAGAAUGUCUGUGGACCCUGA